rnacentral:tRNA from 1 species
GGAGAGGUGGCAGAGUGGUCGAUUGUACUUGACUCGAAAUCAAGCAUACCUAACGGUAUCGAGGGUUCGAAUCCCUCCCUCUCCGCCA